GGGGAAUAUUGCACAAUGGGCGAAAGCCUGAUGCAGCAACGCCGCGUGAGUGAUGACGGUCUUCGGAUUGUAAAGCUCUGUCUUUUGGGACGAUAAUGACGGUACCAAAGGAGGAAGCCACGGCUAACUACGUGCCAGCAGCCGCGGUAAUACGUAGGUGGCAAGCGUUGUCCGGAUUUACUGGGCGUAAAGAAUGUGUAGGCGGAUACUUAAGUGAGAUGUGAAAGCCCCGGGCUCAACCUGGGGACUGCAUUUCAAACUGGGUAUCUAGAGUGCAGGAGAGGAAAGCGGAAUUCCUAGUGUAGCGGUGAAAUGCGUAGAGAUUAGGAAGAACAUCAGUGGCGAAGGCGGCUUUCUGGACUGUAACUGACGCUGAAGCUCGAAAGUGCGGGUAUCGAAC
rnacentral:rRNA from 1 species